rnacentral:lncRNA from 1 species
AGCCUUUUAUUAAUAAAAAAGGAAGUCAAGGCCAGUGACAAAAGACAUGACAGUGGAGAGAAAACUCCACUGUGAGCUGCCAUGGCCAGGUUACAAGCAUUGCCCAAGAUGUUAUCGAAUCCCUGAUACAUGAAAAAGGAAAAGGAAAAUACAAUAAGACCCCUUAAGGAGUAAUAAUCAUGUCCCAAUUCCUCAUCAAAUCAUCGAAGUGAUAAUCCUGAUUGCGUAUAUGACCCCCUGCCCAGUACCAGACCGUUGCUUUAACGUCAUUGGAAAUAUAUGAUUAAGAAAUCAAUGGUUGCAUCGCUCUCACAAAGUGAAGAGGUUGACACCAAUUUUAUUUAUUUAUUGUCGAUAAAACAAAACGUUUGUUCUAUUAUUUUACAUUUUAUUAUCCAACUUCAUAUACUCCCUCUGUCCCAAAUUAUAAGUACCUUAUUCCAUUUUAGAUUGUCCCAAAAUAUAUGUAGCUUUUGACUUUUCAACACAUAUUAAUUAAGUUAAAUGGUUCAUUUGUCUAUAUUAUCCUUGCUUUGAGAUUAAAGUAAUUAUUCUAAUAAAAAGUUAGACAUUAUAAUUAGUAUUAAAUAGGGGUAAAUUGGAAAAUAGAGUUAGUAGACAAACAAUAAAUGAUGUUUCCUAAGUAGAAUAUUCCAAAAGGUACUUAUAAUUUGGGACGGAGGGAGUAGAUUUUUAAUCUCUAUUGUUGGAAAUGAUUGAUAAUAACAUCUUGGAUAGCUACAAGCUUGGCUCGACCACCAUAUUCCUCUGGUAAUGUUUCUUCACCUAUUUCCCUGAUAAAAUUCAUGUGUUCAUCCUCAUUUUUCACGAUCACAAUCUGCACGAAUAUUACACUUAUAUAUUUAAGAAAACAAUUUAUGAUUCGAAUGAUGAAAUUGUAGAUUUGUAGAUUUGUAGUCCAAUUAAUAAUUUUAAUGAGAAGAUGCACGUACUUUGUCUAGAAGUGUUUUAUCGAGGGCACGAGAAAUCAUCUUCCAAAUAGUAACAAAGAAACCUGGCAAGCUUAAAAAGUACAAUUUGGCCAAGUGUUCCGGAUAAUAAUCCUGUCAUGAAGGUAUGUAUGAGAAAUUUUAAUAUUUGAUGUAUGAGAAAAAUGAUUGAAUUAAUGAAAUGGAUAAGAUGCUACCUGCAAAAUUUUAAAUCCUGCAAUAAUUCCACGAGUGUCGAGAUUGUUAUAGCUAAUUUUGUCCAAAUCCAUUAUGGAAAUGAACUUUUCGUUUCCUGUUUCUCUUCCCUCCUUGAAAGAACUAAAUUAACAAUAGAUAAGUAUGUACACUUUUGAAAGAAAAAAACAAGUGGGAAAGAGAGAACAAAAUUACAAAAUGUUCAUAUAAGGGCUAAAGUGCUAAACCUUGCUAUAGCUUUGUCAAAGGAAUGCACCAGGCCUUCUGUAUAUCACAAAGGAUAUUAAUAUAACUAAGUGCAAUUUAAUUAUAUAUAUGAAAAAAGAGAUCAACAGCUGACUCACUCUUGGUCUGGAGUUGAUCUUUAGGGGCAAUAUGCCUGUUCAUUUUGAGAAUGAGGACAGGGUGACCACUUGUUGAGAAGCCUUGCAAAUGAACCUUUUUAGCUUCCAACUGAUCUAAUAUUUCAGAUUGAGGGAUGUAACCCAAUGGUGCAAUUUCUUCUCUCCAUUUCUUCCAUUUGAUAAACAUCUUUGCUGCUUUUGUUGGGUCCAUUGAUCUUGCUAUCAAAAACCUCAUCAGUAUGGGAUCACCAUAAUGCUGUAGAUCGAAAACGUACAAAUAAUUAAACACUCUAUCUAACUAUCUAAUCACAUAACAAUACAUGAAAUUGUAUGCUGUACUACAGUAGUAGUACUCAACAUAUAUACCUCAGCUGAUGAUCCUUGCUUUGCCACCAACUUCCUCAUCUCUGUUAAAAGCAGAGUUUGUUGAGUUUUCUCCAUUCCAUUGGUAUUGCUACUUGAACUGCCGGUACUCAUACUGUUACUAAAACUAGAGUAAAUGGAUGCUUGGAAAUGGCGAGAGAGGCCAAACGUAUAAAUGGACGCAAAAUUAAUUAUCCCAACAAUUAAUCUGGUGAGAUUAAGAUGGUUAUCAAAUAGAAAGUUGCCAUGUCCUUCCAGAAGCCCAUAGGUGACCAUGUCUUAAUCUGGUGAGAAUUGAGAUUAAGAUGGUUUAUCAAUUAAUAUCGUACAGUUAUAAAUUACCACCACAUUUCACUCUGGUCUUUUUUUUUUUUUUUUUUGGUAUUAAAUCUAAAACAAAUUUUAUUGAUAAACUCAAAGAGUCAAAGACCUCUACCGUCUAUAGAUAAGAUGGGUUGUAGCCCACAAUUACAUAAAGUCCAAACGGGUAAACAGAGGUAAAAAAAGCAAAAUAGCCCAAAAGGUUUGAGUCAGGCCCAAAGGGUUUAAGGAAGAUCAACAGGUGGCCCAAGAGAAGGAUUUGACUUUGGCUAUUCUUUUGAACCAUUCUGGGGAGUUGAUGCGCGCACAAAGUUGUUCUUGCAUUCAAUAGUUUGUCUGCCGUUCCAAAGUUGUGCCUUGAGCAUUGUGUUUGAGAAAGGAAACCACCAUGGCUUCUAUGAAGAUGGAGAACGUGUUGGAAUUUUUGGAUGAAGAGAACUGUUUUGUUCAGGAACGUACGUACGCUGUUAGGACGUUCGUACGUUCCAUUCGACAGAUGUUGGUUUUGUGGCUGAACGUACGAACGUUAAUUCGACGUACGUACGUCCUAUCUUGGUUUUGUGCAUAUGGGCAUGUUUUAGCCCAUUUCGUGUGUGUUUGUAUGGCUAUGUUAUAAAGCCAAUUGAGAAGGUUGGAAAACCUAAUCUUCAUGUGAGAGAGAGAUUGUGAGAAGCCAUUGGUGAGUUUGAGAGAACUCUUGUGAGGACGAACACUUUGGUUUCUUCGAGAGGGCUUGUAUAAUCGUCUCUAUUUGGAAGAUUGUUGUUUUGGUCGUGGACGUAGGCAAUAUUAGCCGAACCACGUAAAUCUCGUGUUUUGUUUUGUUUUGUUUUUGCUUUGUUUGAUUCACACACUAUUUCAAUUUUGGAUAUUGGUGCAUAAGCUUCCGCUGCGCACAGGAAUGACCUCUGCUAUUCAGGUGAAGGAGAAGGUGGAUGAUGAUGGUGGUAUGGAAGUGAUGAUGGAGAAUGUGUCUUCCAUAAUGCAUGGGAUUCUCUGUGGUGUUUACAUGGAGGAGGUUAGAGCGUUGAUUCAUAGGAAAUUGCAUGAGUGCUUUGCUUGCUGUUGUGAGAUGAGGAAGAAAGUCAUUGUUGUAAACUUCAAGGAUACAAAAAUUGAAGUGAAGGAGGAGGAGAAGUGAGCUUUGAUUUAACCCGAGAAGGAAACUGAACCCGAUGAGGAAACUGAACCCAAGGAGGAAGCUUUGGUCAGUCCUAUCUCGCCAGUUGGAGAGGAUGAUGAUGAGGCUGAGUUUGGGGGCUUCUUUGAUGAUAAGAAUGAGGAUCAAGAUCAAGAUGUUCAUGCACCAGUCCAGAUCCAACAACAGAAGAGGCAGAUGAUGAAGCUGAUGUUGAUUCCGGUGAGUUCCAUUAAAAUUGAGUUGUUGCAUGUCGAGAUCUGCACAUAAGGAUUAGAAAUAUUCAGUUUGAUAGGAGCUCAUAUCUGUUGCAGUUAUACAUACAUACUAGAUUCAUGACAACCACACAGGCUUGUAAUUUUACACGCAAACAAGCAUACAGAAGAACAUCUCCAUGAUUUGAUCGUUGAAGAAAUAUUCUUCUCAUCUUCUGUACAGUAUCUUUUAGCUCGUUUCCAGAAAUAGAGAAAUGAUUUAAGGAUAUGGCCUAUUGGAAGCUGGGAAAUAGAAAUGCAAAGGCAAACCCACGCCCCACAUUUAGAGGAUUCAUCACCUGCCAUAAACUCUAAAACUUAAAGCACCAUCAGUGCCAGAUACGAGUUGUAGCGUUGUCAACAACCACUAUAUGUACUAACAAUUCAUCUGGUACAACUAUUGUGAUUGUAUACUAGAAGAAGCCAUCCAGUACAACUAUCUGUUCUGUAUUAAUGGAAACCCAUACAAGUUCCAUGAUGAAUAACUAUUGUGAUUGUAUAAUGUAGAAAUACUCCAUACUGCAUAACUUACAUUUAUAUACUAUAGAUUAAAACUUUUAUACUUGAAGAAGCCAUCCAAUCUAAUCCAAUCCCACUAUGGUGCUGAAAAAAUGCUGGUUUUAUGGCGUCCAUUCUCUACCCUCAAAGAAAUCGCAUUGCUUCCUAGACAAAUGUGCCACUUCCUAGACAGAUUAGAGGACUUGAAUGGGCCAAAACAAUCUGUCCAGCGCAUGAUACACACAGCCAACCUCUUUAAUCCAUACCAAUGAUUUAAUUGUUGCUCUACGAACUCAGAAUCUUGAAGGCAGGAACAAUCUUUUGCUCAGUCCAUGACAGCACGAAACAUACUGAAGGAUGCUGCAGACACUUACAUCCCUCUAUCUGACACAUUAACUAACGACAUUGCAAUUCUAGAGGCUUGCUUGCUUGCUCAGCAUUGAACUAAAGAUAGCAAUACCGAUUCAGGGACCAUCGUUUUGCGAAAAAAACAAACAAACUUGGAUUCACAUUAAUCCGCAUCACCAAGUCCAUCACUUCCAUCACCCCUCUUGGAUAUAGCAGCAAACUGAGAGGUUGGUUUCUUGGUUUGACUAGCAACUUCAGCAUUCUUUCGCAGAACAGCACCAGGAGAUGGAUACGGGCGUUGCUGAAAGAGAGGACCCUGAAAAUAUGCAAACGGCGAAACAGACUUAACUUAGUCUUGCUCAAAAUUAUCGCAUCUAGAGAUCCUAAUAGUGCAUACUUUCAUAAUCACAUAUUUUGCAACAGAAAUUAAAAGUACUCCCUCAAAAGGAAGAACAAACUUCUAUUCAUUAUCAAAAACUCAAAACUCCUCUUUCACAAUAAUAUGGGCUUAUAUAGCAUUCUUCGAAACCUAGAUUCUUAAGAAAAUGACUAAUUUGCUCAAAACCCUAAACUAGACAAAAUAAUAAAUAAACAAAUUUAUGGACGAAAUUGAAACUUAAAUUUGAAGGCCUAAACGUUGGAAUUUGGCAUUAAAACGCUGGUGCGGACCACUAAGUGGUUAGGCUUGUAGAUCUUGCUGUUUCCAUAAGAAAAAACAUAUAAGAUUCACCCAAUUCUGAACUCUGACGAUCUCAAUCUACCUUAAAUUCACGUUCUCUUUAGUCAUCAGUGACUCUGUUGAAUUUUGGAAAUAGAGGUGGAGGCAAUGUUAUCUUUACUCAGGCUUGAGCCCAGGGUCAGUUUUAGGGAUUUUUACCAUGUACUAGCAACAAGAAUAGACAAUAGAGCCAGAAAUGUUUUGUGCUAAGCUGUGUCCUGUUCAAUAGGGGAACCUCCUCCUGAGAAACUAAAUAGAAAAGAUAACAUGAAAAUGAGAAUCACCCCAUUUCCUAUUUCAACUCAUCCCCCUCAACCAAAGGAAACCCUUACUUCUUCUUACCAACUCAGCUUCAUAGGAAACAGCGAAUAAAUGAUUAGAUUUGAAGGCUAAAGUUUCUGUAAUUGGGAUUCUCUAGCCAUGUAAGGGUGGGGAUCUUGUUAUUGGGUUGGUGUGGAGGUGUAUGUCAUUAGCUUCUUGCUUGCGGACUACUCUCCAUGGCUGUGUAUGUAAUUGUUUGACAAUUGGAAUACAUUAUACUUUUUAUUGAUCCCAAAAAAUAUUGAUUAUAUUUUAAACUUUUUGAGAAGGCAGGUGCUGAAAAGUUAUCUAGAGUAUUGAGAAUAAGUUUAAAAGUUGUUGGAGUUGGGACACAUGCUAAUAGAAAAGACUCAACAAGGGAUCUACUUGUGACCUACAUGCAUGAUUAUCAUUCAUAAAUUAACAUUAGACUUUUUAAUACAAACGGAUCUGCAGUAGCAUGUUAUCAUAUUAAUGAAGGUCUAGAGCAAGAGGCCUACCUAUAUUCUAUAUAGCAAUUAUAAACACCAUGUAAUUCAAUACUUUGGAAUGCGAUAAUGCACAAUUCUACAAAUGAGAAUAAAACAUACAGUUGCGGUCGUAUCUGCUGCUCGAGGCUGUACUCCUUUCAAACCAACAACCCUGCAAAAUAACCACUGGUUAAAUGAGAAUCUUGACAAAAAUUGAUUUCACCUGAUAUAGCACAUAUAUGGUGUGAGCAAAAAUAUUAACAUAUCAAAAACCAGUUUAGAGCUAAACAUGUAGAGUACUGUUAUACAAUUGUAAUUUCAAUAAUACUGUACAUUGCUUCUUUCAAAAAAUAAUGAACAUCCACUGCAGUGCUUUUCUCUCUUAAAAAAGAAAGAAUGAUAUGUGUUCUGCAUACGAUAACGUCAAUGACUUGGUAUGCUUUGGCAUAGUGACACAGGACUAGAUAUACAGAGAUAGUAUAAAGAAAAUGUCGNNNNNNNNNNNNNNNNNNNNNNNNNNNNNNNNNNNNNNNNNNNNNNNNNNNNNNNNNNNNNNNNNNNNNNNNNNNNNNNNNNNNNNNNNNNNNNNNNNNNAUGGAAAAGUGAAUGAACUGCAAUAGCAAAAAACAAUUUUUAUUAAAAAAAUAUGAGGUUUGUCGUGGUUCUGAAUUUUUUCUACUCGGUAACUUAUGCAUGCAGAUAAUCAAUUCGGUCGUUGUGGUCGGACUCUAUUAUGGAUUUCUGCCCACAUUCUCCCAUAGGGCGCCUCUUAUCUCCUCCUUCUCCGAGCUCGGGUGAUGGACGAAGGAACCGAGAAGGAGGUAUCAGCAACAUCGGGUUCUCUUGUAGGACGGGGCUUUGGGCUUUUCUUUAUGGAAAGUGAAUAGAAAUGCAUAACAUACCAGCCACCACGUGGAGCAUCUGAAUAAGAGCUUGGAUCCAUAGGAUCCAACUCAUCAUCCUCAGUGUAAGAACGUUUCUUGUAGUCUUUUUUACCUCCUUUCCCCAUCGGGGGUUUUGAAUUGGACCUGCAAAGCCAAAAUGAUGUCAAUGAAUAAAUAUUUGACUCUUUUAUUCUUAAAAAUUCAAAAAGAAUUGGAGAUAUUCGAACAUGAGGUUUCAAUUUUCGUGUGCUUUGCAAUCAUGCAAGAGAUAAUAGUUCUCAGAAUAGUUUGAAAGUCUUUGAUCCAUGUUCUAUACAUGGUUGUGAAAAAACUAAAUGCUAAAUGGUCGAAACAGGCUUAAGGCUUUGAUGAAAGCAAACAGACAUCACUUUGAUCGAUGCAAAAUGACAGAAGCAACUGAUUUUCGAAGCAGGGCAGUAAACUUCCAAAGCUUAAACCACAAAGAAGCUAGAACAAGACUAGUAGUUGAAGUAUUUACAGUAUCUAAGGUCGGGAACUGCUGCUUUUUUCUCAGAAAUGAUAAUAAGGAUUUUAGACCUCCUGCAGUCCUUUUAGCAAAACAGUCCAGUUCAAAGUACAUACAGUUACUCAAUAUGGUGAGCUCAUUACGGUUCAUAACUUCAUAUUGACUCCACUGACAUUUUCAGAUAUAGGCAGCAUGCCAGCGAAGUCAGAUCCCAGCUCAAACCAGUUGAACUAGUCUUGCUAUAAAUGUGAUGCAAGUUUAUGUUUCAAGUUACCUAUGCUUGGACGCCAAACUGCUUGAAUCUUCUAUCAUCUUUGAUCCAUUGCUGAUCUGUUGCUGAUUGUUCAAGUUGGGUGAUAAGUGAUGAUAAGGAAGAUUAAGAACCCUGCAAUCAGAACAGAAGUGGUCUAAUACUGGCACCGAGUAAUGCUCUAUGAACUGAAACUAAAACAGAAUGGCCUACUCAUGUUAUUAUAAAUGUCUUACAUUAUGAUGCUGAGCUAUGUUGUAUCAUACAUCAUUUAUAUUAUUAGCAAGGCAACAUAACUAUACCACCUUUUAUAGACUAACCAAGUCGUAGUUUAUAAGACCACUUCCUUCCUAAUAAGCUAAAGAUUAAAAUCCCUCAAGCUAUCUUCCAGCGAAAGCAUGAAUAUUUGAUUACACUUUACCUUUUAAUUAGAGGCUGCACCCUGAUUCAUAUGUUAGAUAGCAUGUCUAAACUAAUAAAAUAGGAAUUUAUAGAAUGGAACAAUGACACAACCAGCUAUUCAUGAGCUUUGCCCCAUAGUUUCAUCUUGAUUUCAUGAAAUUUGGCAAAUGUUUAUAAGCUAAUAGCUGUAGUAAUACGAUGCUGACCAAAAACAAACGCUGAGAUAAAUGUGAAGUGCAAGUACAACAUUUACCGUGCACAGUGAUUACAGUAACCCGAUGCUUGCACAAGGCCAAGCCCCCAUCCACCACAUCCCAUGCAUUUCCGUUGCAUGGAUAUGUUUUCAGUUUCACCAGCUGUUUUCCUGGAAAGACUACCAGUUUGUUGCAAUGCAACCUCCUCUACGGAGCUUGGUCUCUCCCAUUGUGUUACAUAUGUCUUCAUAUUGUAGUAAUACUUGUGAUCUGCAAAGACAUGACCAAAGAUAUAGAAACGACUUGCUCUGUUUUGUUUUUCUUUCUCUUUUAUUUGUUUUAACUCUCAUAAAGAAAAAACAAGAGAAUCUUGUUGUAGUUUGGUUAUUCAAAAGGAUACUGACUUGGAUGUCAAUAAUACCACGGUGUGUUCAUCAAAAGGAAAGCUAACUUGGAUGCAGAAUCAUGCAGAUAAUACCAGUUCACCACCUAUCAAACUUAUUCCACAUUAAAUUUGAGAUAUUAAGUAUAACUACUUCAUUCGGAUCAUAUGCUUUGACUCAAAGCAUCCACUGCUACUACCAAAAAAUACUCCUAAAAACACUGGGAAAUGCUGAUUAUAGUUAAAUUCAAUAUUAACUUUCUCUUCUAUUAGCACAAAUUAAACAUCGAUUUCUUCCAAAUCAGCAGAUUCCAACCAUUUCAACAUCCCAAAAAAAAAAAAAAAAAAAGGUUUCAACAGUGCUAUGAUUGCAAGUACUCGUCAUAGAACUAUACGGUUUUUGAGUUUGUGGAAAAGCUGCUUGAACAUAAAUCACGUUAUCCCAGAUGGAGACUUAUUCUAGUCCGAUUUGUAUGAUGACUUUUAUAUAAACCUUGACAGAGUUGAGAGAAAGCUGACUUGUAGAUUUCCAUUUUUCAUAUACAGUAUGUAUAACUUUUGAAUAAUGAUAAGCAGUAUAUAACCUACAGACACCCUACAUCAUACCUGUAGUUACAUCGACGACCUCUUGCCAAUCUGGUGGUAGAGGUAAUGACUCUGCAGACUGUGGAAUAGUAGGAGUCUCAAAAGGAAUCUCCCAUUGGCUUUUUCCAGUAUUUUCAUUAUAAUAAUAAACAGAACCAGUUGAAGGGUCUUUUGCUUCCUUCUGCAUUAGAAAGUCAAAACGUAGAACUGAUAUCCGCAAGAGAAAAAAGAAAAAGAAAGCAUAUAUGUCAUAUAAAGAUUCUAUCUAUCUUACAAGCAACACCAAUAUUAGAAUGUCAAAAACCUAGUGAUGAAAAAAGAUAAUAAGCAUGUGAGCAGAAUUAUACAUACACGUCAAAUAUAGCCAUCUCCUGUACUGGUUCAUUCAAACAUAUCACAAAGUUCAUGUACGGAUGCAAUCAUCUUAAAAAAGACGACAGAAAAAGAAUUAAAAGUGCACACCAAAAAUAGAUAGCAUCAACAGUGAGGUGCUCUUUGAACUGAUUUUAACCUAGUAAGGAGGAAUAUGAAUUCCAUUUAUGGUCUUUAUAAGUAGUAAGUUAGUAACCUACACCUUAGUAAUGAUCGCGUAUAUGCACCAACAUUAAAAACUUACACACCAAAACAAAAUUAUUUCUUUUUAAUUUAAAGCUGACUAAACAUUAAAAGCCAAACAUAUUUGCUCAGGUAAUUCUAUUCUUCUCGAAGAUGCAUGAAAUAACGCUAAAGCAACAUUGCAAAACAAGAGCUGUGAUGAGUAAAGCAGAUGAAACACUGAAACCAAUCGUAAAAAAAUUGCUCAUCUUAACUUAUGUGCUAAAGUGUGCCAACAUUUGCAAUAAUAAGGAGCUGCUUUAUUAUGAAAAAACAGAAACAUUGAUAAAAACUGGCACUCACCCAUCCAGGAAGUAAUUUUGCACCAGCUACAGUUUUACUUGAUUGAGUCUCGAACUUCUGAAAUAUGAAAACAAGGACUUAGAGUCGCAACAAAUAAUAAAAUAACAACAGAGUAAAGAUCUAUCAUGAAAACAAGGACUGAUUCAAUGACUAUUCAAUUAAAGAGAAAAUCAGACAAUUUGAGAUAUAUGAGCUCUUCAUACAAGGUUCGAUGGAGAAGCAAACGGUUAAAGGUGCGCAAUUGAAGAGAGCCAGCUUGAUCUUGGGAUAUCACUUAAGUAAUGAGGUACAUUGACCAUAUAUAUAUACAACACAUGUUAAACAGUUCUAUUUUUUUAUGACUUCCAUUUGAAAAUUUAUGUGGGGAUAGAAUAUAAUACAUGUUAACACCUCUUUCUAUGUAACGUUUGCACCCUUUUCAAGACCAUUCAGUAGAUGCAUUAAGGGCUGACUUACUGGGAUGAUGCACUCCCAAUGGAGAUCAAUGUCACAAGAUAUUAGCUAAUUUCAACAUUUCAACCUAAAAAGUAAAGCUCAUAACUUGAAAGAAUGAUCAGCAUGUCAAGAAAUUAUUAUCACUAAAGUAUUAGACAUGUAUACACAAAUGCACAUGUACAAUUAAACACACGAUAGAACACUUACGUUCUCAGUUGCUGCUUGACCCAGUUUAGUCGAGUCAUCUUUUAGAAUACCCCUUGCUUUUAAUUUUUGCUUCAAAUAUUCAGGCAGAUCUCUUGCUGAAACCCUUGGUCCUGAUUCAUUUUCAGCUUCAGGUAGUUUAUGAGCAUCACCAAUCUCACCUCCAGACUUUGCUGAAGCAUAAAUAAAAGUAAAACAUAUAUAUUCAUAAAAUGUCUCGGUACAAAACUCAUUGAAAAUCUGUAUUACAUGAAAAGCCGUGGAUUUUACCAGAUAUAUUACUAGAAGGCUUUGAAGCGCCAUAACCAGCACUUCCACCUGGUACACCAUAUCCAUUUCCAAUUUCGAUGUUGCCUGUCAAAAUGUCAAAAAGUGAGCUCCUCUGCACAUAAAAUAAUAUCCACAUGAAUAUAUUUAUAUGUUGCACCAACAUGAUUAAUAAGUUGAGAAUCAGAAGAUAAUUAUUUAUCCACGAUAUGCUGGUGUGCAAUUCUAUGUCACAGCUUAUCUAAAAGGCUAAACCAAUAGGAUAUGGAUUUAGCUGGGGUUUGGGAGCAUCCAAGCACUUGUUUGAUAUUACAAGGCUUUUUCGUCCAACUUAAAGAAGAUGCAGAGGAUUCUUCUCUAAUGAAUGUAGAAGGAAGGCAUUUACAACUAAUCAAAAAAUCUACUGUAUCUGUGUUUAGUUAGAUUUGUUUCAAAAGUAUAAAGAUCAUCCUUGGAGAAUUUCAUGGGUGGAAAGACAAUGUUCCUGAACAUACAUGGUGUGUGUGUGUGUGCAAUUUAUCUUAAAAGCUAUAUAAAAGUUCCCAGAGAACUGUAACAAAGUUUAAGUUCCAACUGUAAGAAAGGUGGAAUGUCUGAGAUCAUGAGAUGAUGUGAAACACAAGAGAGUUGGUGUUAACCUUUUUCAGGAAAUGAAGACUUCCGACGUUUUGAAGCCAUUUCUGCGCGAUGAUCAGUUGUCAUUUUCAGCAGAUGCUCCUAUAUAAAUGUUAAAAAAUAACCUAAACUCGUGUAAGCGUCCAGGUUGAAAGAGGAUCUACUGAAUAUAUGCAGAAACCAUAAAGUGAUGACAAGAGAAAAUAUGAAAUGAAAGGUGAAGGAAAUAUCUACACAUAACAGACCUUCAAAGCAUUCGGAUCAUAACGACCUGAGAUGAUAUCUUUUCCAUCCUCUAGAGAUCCAGUUGCAACUCCCGCUUGUCUGAGAUCACAGACCAGUGUAUAAUUUCUACCAUAUUUUAUUGGCUUAUCAUGAGAUUCUACAGAAGAAUAUUAGAGAAAAUAACUCAGACUCACCUUUGAUCACGUAUGACUUGUUGGGUGGUAAUUUCCUAAUGAUCAAGACCCAAGAUUUCAAUGACAGAAGUCACAAAAGAUAAUUAAGUUGAGAGUAUAAGAAACAAUAAAUAGAAUCCAUAACGAAACAUACUUGUUCACGCAGCACAGCAUCCUGAGCAGCAUCUUCAACAUCCUUGUCACCUACUCCAUGUAACCUCGAGUAACUAUGACUAGGUUGUGGAUGAUUGGAUUUCCACCCAUAUCUAUUUUCAUUAGUUUGGUUAACUGAAAUUGAUUUCACUUCAUUACACGCUUCUUCGACUUUUUGCUUCUUCUGUUGCUGAACUAUGUCUUCAGACACUUCAGUUAGUUCCUUUGAUUGAUAAUCUGUGUCCCUGUCAUCUUGACAAGACUUUAAUACUUGUGUUGCAUGUUCUGGUUGGCCUGAAUUCUCCAUCUGUUGGGAAACAUUGUUUGCCUCAUUCUGAUGCACAUCUAAAGAACUGGUUCUAUUCGCUGGCCCAAGGGAACUGCGACUGGAUGAGGCAAUUCCAUCUUGAGGGUUCUUUGUUGUAAACUCAGAGUCACUGGCUUCAACCUGAGGUUGCAUAGAAUCAUGACCAGUCCCCACUGGAGUCACCAAACCAGGAGCCAGAUGUCCACUAGACUGAAAGACUGGCAUGCUAGGCUGAGUGAUGACGUUUGCUGGGACAUUAUGAGGUACUUGUACUGAUGAAUUAAGAGCAUGUGUAGCCAAACCAUGUUGUUCUGGUGGAUAAAAUUGUGUAGAAAAAUUUUGAGUACCAGGAGGAAAUGGUGCAUUACAUGUUGGAAAAGGGGACUGAAUGUUACCAGAAUAAUUUGGAUAAAAAUUCACCAGUCUGGGAGUGUUACCAAAAGAAUGUGGUUGUGGGACAGAUGGAACUAAUGGAGCUGAAUUAUAAAAGGCAUUUGGAUACAACUGUGUGCCAGGAGGCAUUGGUUGUGAGUUGAAAUUGUCCAUAAUAAAUCAAUGCAUAAGACAGUAAUGGAUCUUGUUCAACCAAAACUUCACAAGGAAGCGAAAAGUUUCACGAAAUUGGAUCUCGCCAAUAUAGAUAUGGACAAAAUUUUCACUUCAAGCAAUGUAAAACUGCAUUCCAAUUCCCAGAAAAACUAACAUUAGUGCAUAUUUACAAACAAAGAAACGAUGAAGAUACUUUUCACAUACUUAUAUGACAUGAGUAAAAAAGUAUCAAAUCAAACAACUUUAUAUAACACCAUCUACUAAGCCAUUAGAGGACUUGCAUAACAUAAGGAUGAAAUAUAUCACAACAACUAUGUCGAGCAACAUUUUGAGUUUGUAAAUAUCCUGGACUGCCAUGUCUUAAUAAUUACCAGUUAGUAUUCCUCAUUACAAAAUUUUUGAUUUAUAAUCAAGAAAUGACCACCCUAUAAUUGUCAUAGCCAAACCUACAUCAUAACAAGUUAGUGAUAUGGUGAAACUUUUCGUUUCCAAGUGUCCUACCACCAUGCUGAGAGACAAUAAGUAAGUCUUCAGUCAAGGAAACUCUUCCAUGUAAUCAAAAGUUUUAUAAUAACAAGCUACUGCCUCAACUAGAUCUACUGAUGCUUUAUACUUACUGAAACAUGGAUAAUGACUUCAUAGAUUAACUUGAUAACUGUAUUGCCAAUAAAUAAAUUCAUGAAAGGAGUAACUUUGGUGCUCCAGUAUUACUAAAACUAAGUGAAUAUACCCAUAUAUGAGCUGAUUCUAACUAUUGUGUGUAACAUAAAUUGUUGGCAACUCAUCAUUGUGAGUUUACUUAGAAAAGUACCUCUCUGUUGGAUAUACAAUAUGUAGGACUUCACCAAUAGUCCCUACAUGAGCACAGUCCAUCCUUAAAAUGAUGGAAUCUAUUCGCAUCCCUCAAUAUAAUCUCUCGUCUAGUGAUCUUUGCAAUCAAUUUGAUUGCCGAAUGACAAUCCCCACAUACACGAAGGUUCUUCAUUACUCGAAUAGGCAUCCCUUCUGGGACCUUCAAUAACCCAUACGCUAUAGCCAACUUUUCACUGUGAUGACCCAAGUUGUGCACUUUCUCCUCCUCGUCCACAUCAUGCAGCACAAAACUACUGUCAGGAGAAUAACCGGCAUCUCUUAGCAUGCCCCCCAAUUUAUCCAACAUUCCCACAAUUAUCCUGUGCUCAGGGUGCCUCUCACUAUCUCCUCCAGUGAACAUAUGGACUUUCUUCUCGAUAUCAAUCCAGCUACAGCCAGGGAACUUCUUCACAUUCCCUAUCCUCAUACAUUUCCUCAGCUCUUCAACAUCUUCCCAUCUCUUUUUCGAUGCAUAAAUGUUAGAUAGUAAGAUAUAAGGACCAGCAUUGUUGGGCUCAAGUUGUACAAGCUUCUUAGCCGCUAUUUCAGCCAACUCCUCAUUCAUGUGCAUUUUGCAUGCCCCUAAAAAUGCGCCCCAAACAACAGCAUCUGCCUCAACCUGCAUCUUCUCAAUCAUGUCCAAUGCUUCGUGGACAUGGCCAGCUCGGCCAAGAAGAUCGACCACGCAAGCAUAAUGCUCAGCAGUUGGUUCCACCGAAUAGUUGACUCUCAUGGACUCGAAAAUUUUCAUCCCAUCCUCAACUUUACCUGUAUAGCUACAGGCAGAAAGAACACCAAUGAAGGUAACCUCGUCAGGUACCAUGCCUGCAGAACACAUUUCUUGAAAAACAUGCAAGGCAUCAUCCCCUAAACCAUGUUGCGCAUAUCCUGUGAUCAUAGAAUUCCACAUAACAACAUCCUUUGGAGCAAACCUAUCAAACAAGAAUCUGGCCUUACCAAGCUCACCACAUUUUAUAUACAUUGUGACCAAAGCAGAGGCAACAAAAACAUCAGAAGCAAACUCCGAUUUCACCACCUUUCCAUGAAUUUGCCGCCCUUGGGCAAGAAUUGCCAUGCUAGAGCAAACAGAAAGAACACUAAUUAAAGAGGAGUAGUUUGCUUGAACUCUUGCUCUUAGCAUUAGUGAAAACAAAUCGAGUGCUUCCAUUUCAAAUCCAUUUUUCUCAUACCCCUUAAUCAUUGCGCUCCAUGUUCCAUCAUCCUUGUUUCUCAUUCGACCAAAAAUUUCUCUCGCUUCAGCUAAUUUCCCAUUCUGGCCAAACCCAAGGAUCAUUGCAUUACAAGAAACAACCGACUUCUCCGGCAUCCUAUUAAACAGAUCAAAUGCUUCAUCAAUUCGUCCACAGUGCGUGUAACCUGUCAACAUUGCUGUCCAAGACACUUCAUUCUUCUCUGGCAUCACCUCAAAAAGCUCUCUAGCAAUAUCUACUUGUGAAUUCUGGGCGUAACCUGUUAACAUUGUAGUCCAAGAUAUAAUAUUUCGAUGUGGCAUAGAAUCAAAAAGCUCCCUAGCUUCACUCAGACGCCCCUCCUGGCAAUACCCAGCAAUCAUAUUAGUCCAAGCAACUACAUCCUUCUCCGGCAUACUAUCAAAAAGACCUCUAGCAUCAUCGACUCGACGAGCUCGAAUAAGACCACCCAACAUCACAGUCCAGGAAAUAAUAUUCCUUUCAGACAUUUGUUGAAACAGAGACUCAGCUUCUGAUAUUGUACCCUCUUGAACAUACCCUCUAACCAUGGAAGUCCACGAAACAACAUUCCUUUCAGGCAUAUUAUCAAAUACUUUACGUGCUUCCUUAAUCAUCUUAUUCUUAACAUACCCAGAAAUCAAACUAUUCCAUGAAGAUGUGUUUCGUUCAGGCAUUUUGUCGAACAAACGUUGAGCUUCUCUUGGUUGUUUACUUUGAAAAUACCCAGAAAUAAUGGCAUUCCAAGAAACAAUGCUUUUAUCAGACAUUUCAUCAAAUAUCUCUUGUGCUCUUUCAAUUUGGCCGAGUCGACCAUAACGAGCAAUUUCAUUAUUUGCUGCAACAACAGCAUUUGUACAAUAUCUUCGAUACCGGGUCGACAAGAACUGCAUCACUAAGCUAAAAUUAACUAAACUAUUGAGAAAAAAUCUACCAAUUAUGAUGAAUAUUACAUAAAUUCAUUACUGAUUAUAAUCUGAUUUUUUCAGUUAAAACGUUUUUCAGUCGAUUCAACUUGAAACUUAUAAGAAGAAAAAUGAAUUGAAAGAAAUAAAAUUAAACACAAAAGAUAAAAACUGAAGAGAACUGAAGAAGUUUAAUCACCUUAGAACACAUUCAAGAACCCUAGAAUUUCGCCUGAAAAUAUAAGAUUCCGCCGGAGCUUUAAACGGUAGGUUUCUCGGAAGGAUGAUUUCGUGGUGGUGUUCUUUACUUCUUUCUGCAAGUUCGUGUUCCAGACUUCCAGCUCUAUAGUUUAGACAGGCCUUUAUUGGAUCUGGGUCUUCUAAUUGGGUAUAUUGUGCCCGUCGAAAAAGCCUUAACAUUUGGGCCCGUGUAGAUGUGUGGGUCCAGCCCAUCUCUCAAGCCUUUUGGGCUCUGGUCCUGCAAAAGUUGUUGAGUUGAAGGAAUGACAGAUUUUGCUAGAAGCCUUGGUAAGUUUUUUUGACAUUCAUGUUAAUCUCUUCAUCAAUGAUCAAUCUAUAUAUUUUCCUUUAAACUAGGGCUGGGCAAAACCGAUCCGAAACAUGCAAACCGAACCGAACCGAAAAUAAGGUGUUUACAUGUUCGGUUGCAGUUUCUAAUUUUGUAAAACACCUACUUUGGGUGUUCGGUUGCAGUUUCGAAAAUUUUGGAACACCCAAAACCGAACCGAACAUGUAAUUUUGUAUAUAGUCCAACCCAUCAUGUAAUUUUGUAUACAGUCCAGCCCAUCUCUCCAGCAGUCCAGCCCAUUUGUCCAACAGUCCAACCCAUCUACUAGGUGUUCGGUUCGGUUUUAUUCGGUAACCGAACCGAAUCACAUAUUCGGUUAUGUUUCGGUUUUAGUAAAAAAAUUUUGGUUCGGUUCGGUUUCAAAAAUGAAACAGUUCGGUUUCGGUUUUAGUUUUUACAAAACACCUACUAGGUGUUCGGUUGCCAGUUUUGGCCAAAACCGAACCGAACCGAACCAUGCCCAGCCCUACUUUAAACGUUGUGUAUGAUAAGAUUGUUGGUCACAAUUUAGGCCUGUGAGUUUUUACAAACCUUUUUUUGCCAUUUGCUUUGGAAAUGAGGGAAGAAAAGGAUGAGCAAAAGCCGUUGGAUCAACUGCCAACGCGCAUUUUUUGAGUAACCAAAGCUUUCUAGUUGUUACAUAUCUUGAUGCAUUACUGACAUGGUUAAACAAGCUCUUUCAUAUAGCCAGGUAAAAUCUCACGAAGAUUGUUUCAGUUUAGUUAUAGGACUUGUUCUGCUUUUCACAUUGUAGUGAUAACUCAGUGCUCUGAGUUAUCAUCCAUAUCAAUCAUCCUAGAUUCCUAUCUAAAAUCCAGAACCACUGUUUCUUUAUAGUCAUGGAAAGUGGAAAGAUGAUAUCGCAGAAUAAUAACUCAAAGCUUACUUUAUUACUGAUUCCACGACCUUUGGUAAAUGGUAAUUUUACAACAGAAAGUACAACAGCUGCUAUGCACUAUCUCGCAAUGAGGGUUCAAAGCAACAGUAAGUCUCAACUCUCCAAAGAAUUUGAAUCACCUCUAUCCUAGGUACAUAAUCCUACUACAACAACAAAUAGAAACAAUAGAAGUCUCGUCUAAGAUAGGAGGGGUCGCACGUUCUGCAGCCAAAAAAUGAUGUCGUCCUCAUCUAUCGAUGCAGUCAAAAAAGAAUUAUGUUCAUAGCUACAACCGUACCAUGUCUGGUAUCUGCAUUAUUGGCACCGCUUCACCUCUGCAUUUGCAUCAUUAAGAAGCCCUGACAUUAAAUCCCCGAAUCUCUUUGCUUGAGGCCCAGGCUUGACGACAUUUACAUCACCCCAUUUGGAGCAUGGAUCGGCCCACCAGCUCUUCAAGCCAGUACACCACGCCCCAGGUGCAGCUCGAUAUCGACUGCGCUUCAAGAUUUUAUUAU